CGUCACCUGAACUCAUGACUCUUCAACUUCAGGACUUGCAGAAUUAAUGGAAUGCCGUCCUAAGGUUGUUGAGUUCUGCGUUUCUGGGC
rnacentral:pre_miRNA from 15 species